rnacentral:rRNA from 1 species
CGUAGGUGGUUCGAUAAGCGAGAUGUGAAAGCCCCGGGCUUAACCUGGGAACGGCAUUUCGAACUGUCGGGCUAGAGUAUGGUAGAGGGUAGUGGAAUUUCCUGUGUAGCGGUGAAAUGCGUAGAUAUAGGAAGGAACACCAGUGGCGAAGGCGGCUACCUGGACCAAUACUGACACUGAGGUGCGAAAGCGUGGGGAGCAAACA